GACGAACGCUGGCGGCGUGCCUAAUACAUGCAAGUCGAACGGAUCUCCUCGGAGAUCAGCGGCGGACGGGUGAGUAACUCGUUGGCAACCUGCAUGUUACACUGGGAUAACUCCUGGAACCCGGGGACAUGACCGGAUAACCCUUCGGACCUCCUGGUGCGGGGCUGAAAGCCGAUUAUUCUGCCCCUUACAGGUCGGCUCGCGGCGAAUUAGCUAGUUGGUGAGGUAACGGAUCACCAAGGCAACGAUGGGUAGCGGACCUGAGAGGGUGACCGGCCACACUGGGACUGAGAAACGGCCCAGACUCCUACGGGAGGAAGCAGUAGGGAAUCUUCCGCAAUGGACGAAAGUCUGACGGAGCAACGCCGCGUGAGUGAAGAAGGUUUUCGGAUCGUAAAACUCUGUUGUUAGGGAAGAACAAGUACGAGAGUAACUGCUCGUACCUUGACGGUACCUAACCAGAAAGCCACGGCUAACUACGUGCCAGCAGCCGCCGUAACAC
rnacentral:rRNA from 1 species